AACGCACGCUAGGGUUACCGCGGCUGCUGGCACGGAGUUAGCCGGUGCUUCUUCUGCGAGUAACGUCACAGAUGUAAAGGUAUUAACUUACACCCUUUUCCUCCUCGCUGAAAAGUGCUUUACAAACCCGAAGGCCUUCUUCACACACGCGGCAUGGGCUGCAUCAGGGUUUCCCCCAUUGUGCAAUAAUUCCCCACUGCUGCCUCCCGUAGGAGUCUGGGCCGUAGUCUC
rnacentral:rRNA from 1 species